GCUGGGCGCGGUGGCUCACGCCUGUAAUCCCAGCACUUUGGGAGGCUGAGGCAGGCGGAUCACUUGAGGUCAGGAGUUUGAGACCAGCCUGACCAACAUGGUGAAACCACUUCCUUACUAAAACUACAAAAAUUAGCUGGGCAUGGUGGUGGACGCCUGUAAUCUCAGCUACUUGGGAGGCUGAGGCAGGAGAAUUGCUUGAACCUGGGAGCUGGAGUUUGCAGUGAGCAGAGAUCGUGCCACUCCAGCCUGGGCAAGAGAGUGAGACCCUGCCUCA
rnacentral:sRNA from 1 species